AUGGUGGAGACUCGCCGGAGCUCCGCCGCCAAGCGCCCCUCCUCUACGUCACCGCCCCCCGGCUCCCCCUCCGCCUCCGCCCCUCCCCCGAAGCGCCCCAAGGUGAGGCCCCUCUCCCCGCGCGGAUCGGACAAGAAUCUCGCGCCCGAUUCGACCGAUCUGAGCCCUGUCCCUCGCCAGGCGGAACCUCCGGCGUCGCCGACGUCGUCUGCGCCCGGAAGGGCCGAGGAGGAUUCGGAGGCGGCCGCGGCCACCAGGAGCGCCGGCUUGGCGGACGACGCCCUGACACCGGCGAUCAAAGAUCAAGGAGGGGAUAAGCGGGCGGCUGCUGCUGCUGCUGAGAGCUCGCGUAGGAGGAAGGAAACGCCACCGCAGCAGCAUGCGGCGCCAUGGGCCAAGCUGCUCUCGCAGUGCUCACAGAGUCCUCAUCUUCCUAUCAGUGUCCCUCAAUUUUCUGUUGGCCAAAGCAAAAGAUGUAAUCUAUUGUUGAAAGACCAAUCUGUCAGCGAAAUACUUUGCAAGCUGCGGCACGUUGAGCAAGGAGGUCCGUGCGAGUUAGAGGUUAUAGGCGACAAGGGUGUGGUCCUAUUAAAUGGAAGGGCCGUAAAUCCAGGCAUGAAAGUUCCCCUUACUGGAGGGGAUGAAGUCGUAUUCAGUUCAUGCGGCAAACAUGCUUAUAUUUUUCAGCAUCCUUUGAAUGAUAAAGUUGCUAAAGCGGUGACAUCAUCAGCCGUUGGCCUUCUAGAACCUCCAGUUGCCGGUGUCAAGCAUAUCCAUAUGGAGAACAGAACAGAAGUCACUUCGACUGUUGCGGGGACAGAGAUGUUAGCAUCCGUAUCGAGUCAAUCGAAGGACCUACCAGCAGUGCCACCUGCAUCAGCUGAGGAGGAGAAUCAGAGAGUAGUGCAACCUAUCAUAUCAUCUGCUUCUGAUAAAUCAAAAGGGCACUGCAUCAGCCCUGAUAAGGAAUGCGAGAAUGGGGAAAACACUAAUGAGGCUAAUUCUAAUAUUGAAGACUCUCCAAUGGAUGUGGCUGCAACCCCCAUAUCUCCUGAUGCUGUUGCUAAUGACACGAGUCGACAAAAUGGCUUUGGAUCUGAUGCUCAUCUUGAUGAAAUCGCUCUUGAAGAUCAGAGGGAUCUCAUCAGGGAUCUUAACACGUCAGCCAGCUUACCUCCGAGCAGAUGCCAAGCCUUUAAGGACGCGAUGAAACAAGGAAUUAUUAGUCCAAGUGAUAUUGAAGUUACAUUUGAGAAUUUCCCCUACUAUCUUAGCGAGAAUACGAAGAAUGUGCUCUUAUCAUGUUCAUUCCUUCAUUUGGAAAAGAAGGAAUUCAUUAAGCAGUUCUCCGAAAUUUCAUCAAUAAACCAGCGAAUUUUAUUAUCUGGUCCAUCAGGUUCUGAGAUUUAUCAGGAAACAUUGAUAAAGGCACUUGCCAAACAUUUUGGUGCUAGACUACUUGUUGUGGAUUCACUCCUGUUGCCUGGGGUGCCUUCAAAGGACCCAGAAACCCAGAAAGAUGUUGGCAAGGCUGAUAAGUCAGGGGACAAGGCAGGUGGUGAGAAAUUGACAAUUCUUCAUAAGCACCGCUCUUCCUUGGCAGACACAAUGCACUUCAGAAGACCAGCUGCACCAACUUCCAGUGUGAAUGCUGAUAUUGUGGGUACAUCCACUCUACAUUCUGCAACUUUGCCCAAACAGGAGUCCUCAACAGCUACAUCCAAGGGCUAUACUUUUAGAGAAGGGGAGAGGGUGAGGUAUGUGGGUCCAGCUCAGACACCUUCAGGCAUACAUCGGGGCCCAAGUUACGGUUAUCGAGGCAGAGUGAUGCUUGCUUUCGAAGAAAAUGGAUCGUCUAAAAUUGGAGUCCGAUUCGACAAGCAGAUCCCUGAUGGUAAUGAUCUUGGUGGUUUGUGUGAGGAAGAUCAUGGCUUCUUCUGUUCUGCUGAAUUGCUCCGCCCAGACUUUUCUGGUAGUGAAGAAGUUGAAAGGCUAGCUAUGACCGAGUUAAUUGAGGUCAUCUCAGAAGAAAGCAAAAUUGGUUCUCUGAUAGUGUUACUAAAGGAUGUAGAGAAAUCAUUCACUGGAAUCACAGAAUCAUUUUCAUCUUUAAGGAACAAACUCGAAUUGCUUCCACCUGGUGUUCUGAUUAUAGGAUCCCACACCCAGAUGGACAGCCGUAAAGAGAAGGCACAUCCUGGUGGAUUUCUUUUUACGAAGUUCGCUAGUAGCAGCCAGACGCUCUUCGACCUUUUCCCGGAUAGCUUUGGUAGUCGGUUGCACGAAAGGAACAAAGAAAGCCCGAAGGCAAUGAAACAUCUAAAUAAACUUUUCCCGAACAAAAUUUCCAUCCAGCUUCCACAGGAUGAAGCAUUACUUACCAGUUGGAAGCAACAAUUGGAUCGUGAUGUUGAAACCCUUAAAGCAAAAUCUAACAUCGGUAGCAUUCGUACGUUUUUGAAUCGCAGUGCAAUCGAAUGCAAUGACCUUGAAGAAUUAUUCAUUAAAGAUCAGUCACUGACUAAUGAAAAUGUGGACAAGAUUGUCGGGUACGCUGUCAGUUAUCAUCUUAAGCACAAUAAAGUCGAAACCUCCAAGGACGGUAAACUUAUUAUCACGAGCGGAAGCCUUAAGCAUGGCCUCGACAUGCUACAGAGCAUCCAUAGUGAUAACAAGAGCUCAAAAAAAUCGUUAAAGGAUGUUGCCACAGAGAACGAGUUUGAGAAAAGGCUUCUGGCAGAUGUUAUACCACCGAAUGAUAUUGGAGUCACCUUUGAUGAUAUUGGUGCGUUGGAGAAUGUAAAGGAAACAUUGAAGGAGUUGGUGAUGCUCCCACUGCAAAGGCCGGAAUUGUUCUGCAAAGGGCAGUUAACGAAGCCUUGCAAGGGAAUAUUGCUCUUCGGGCCUCCUGGCACUGGGAAAACUAUGCUUGCUAAAGCAGUAGCAACUGAAGCAGGCGCCAACUUCAUCAAUAUAUCAAUGUCAAGCAUUACAUCGAAGUGGUUUGGUGAAGGGGAGAAAUAUGUGAAGGCUGUUUUUUCAUUAGCAAGUAAAAUAUCCCCGAGUGUUAUUUUUAUUGAUGAGGUCGAUAGUAUGUUAGGAAGGAGAGAAAAUCCUGGGGAGCAUGAAGCCAUGCGCAAGAUGAAAAAUGAAUUUAUGGUAAAUUGGGACGGGUUGCGAACGAAAGAUAAAGAACGUGUACUGGUUCUUGGUGCCACAAAUAGACCUUUUGACCUGGACGAGGCUGUGAUUAGGAGGUUCCCCCGCAGGCUAAUGGUAAAUUUACCUGACGCAUCAAAUAGAGAGAAAAUUUUGAAAGUUAUUUUAGCAAAAGAAGAGUUGGGACAAGAUACUGAUCUGGAGUCACUUGCUAAUAUGACUGAUGGAUAUUCAGGAAGUGACCUGAAGAAUCUAUGUGUAACUGCAGCGCACUACCCCAUUCGAGAAAUCCUAGAGAAGGAAAAGAAGGAGAAGAAUGUUGCAAAGUCAGAAGGUAGGCCUGAGCCUGCCUUGCAUGGAAGCGAGGACGUCCGUCCUCUUAGUUUGGAUGACUUCAAAUCUGCCCAUGAGCAGGUUUGCGCGAGCGUGUCAUCUGAUUCGGCAAACAUGAAUGAGCUUGUCCAAUGGAACGACCUCUACGGCGAAGGAGGUUCAAGGAAGAAGAAAGCACUGAGCUACUUCAUGUGA
rnacentral:rRNA from 1 species